rnacentral:rRNA from 1 species
UAGGGAAUCUUCCACAAUGGACGAAAGUCUGAUGGAGCAACGCCGCGUGAGUGAUGAAGGGUUUCGGCUCGUAAAACUCUGUUGUUGGAGAAGAACGGGUGUCAGAGUAACUGUUGACAUCGUGACGGUAUCCAACCAGAAAGCCACGGCUAACUACGUGCCAGCAGCCGCGGUAAUACGUAGGUGGCAAGCGUUGUCCGGAUUUAUUGGGCGUAAAGCGAGCGCAGGCGGUUUUUUAGGUCUGAUGUGAAAGCCUUCGGCUUAACCGGAGAAGUGCAUCGGAAACCGGGAGACUUGAGUGCAGAAGAGGACAGUGGAACUCCAUGUGUAGCGGUGAAAUGCGUAGAUAUAUGGAAGAACACCAGUGGCGAAGGCGGCUGUCUGGUCUGCAACUGACGCUGAGGCUCGAAAGCAUGGGUAGCGAACAGGAUUAGAUACCCUGGUAGUCCAUGCCGUAAACGAUGAGUGCUAAGUGUUGGAGGGUUUCCGCCCUUCAGUGCUGCAGCUAACGCAUUAAGCACUCCGCCUGGGGGAGUACGACCGCAAGGUUAAAAC